rnacentral:rRNA from 1 species
UACGGGGGGGGCAAGCGUUGUUCGGAAUUACUGGGCGUAAAGGGCGCGUAGGCGGUCGGGCAAGUCCUGUGUGAAAUCCCUCGGCUCAACUGAGGAACUGCACGGGAAACUGCUCGACUUGAGUUCGGGAGAGGGAAGCGGAAUUCCGGGUGUAGCGGUGAAAUGCGUAGAUAUCUGGAGGAACACCGGUGGCGAAGGCGGCAUCCUGGACCGGUAUUGACACUGAGGAGCGAAAGCCAGGGGAGCAAACGGG